rnacentral:rRNA from 1 species
GUAGCUGGUCUGAGAGGAUGGACAGCCACACUGGGACUGAGACACGGCCCAGACUCCUACGGGAGGCAGCAGUGGGGAAUAUUGGACAAUGGGGGCAACCCUGAUCCAGCGAUGCCGCGUGUGUGAAGAAGGCCUGAGGGUUGUAAAGCACUUUCAGUGGGGAGGAGAGUUGAUUGGUUAAGAGCUGAUUGAUGAGACGUUACCCACAGAAGAAGCACCGGCUAACUCCGUGCCAGCAGCCGCGGUAAUACGGAGGGUGCGAGCGUUAAUCGGAAUUAUUGGGCGUAAAGGGUGCGUAGGUGGUUGAAUAAGUUAUCUGUGAAAACCCUGGGCUUAACCUGGGGAAGAGAGAUAAGACUGUCUGACUAGAGUAUGG